AGCUCUUAGUGGUGGAUCACUUAAUUCAUAUGUCAGUAAAAAUGUUCUAGGUGUGAAAAUUAAUGUGAAUUGCAGGAUCCACUAAUCAUCAACUCUUCGAAUGCACUUGCAGUGUCAGGCUUCACACAGGGUGG
rnacentral:rRNA from 1 species